CUUUUUAGACUUGCCUCAGACACCUGGAAACAAAUAAGCCAAAGAAAAUUUUGUGCCAUGAAAAUCAUGUCAAGCUUUUCACGAAGAUGGCACCGAAGGCGAAGAAGGAAGCCCCUGCCCCUCCCAAAGCCAAAGCCAAAGCAAAGACUUUGAAGGCCAAGAAAGCAGUGUUGAAAGGCAUCCACAGCGACAAAAAAAAGAAGAUCCGGACGUCACCCACCUUCCUACGGCCCAAAACACUGCGACUCAGAAGGCAGCCCAAAUAUCCUCGGAAGAGCGCCCCUAGGACAAACAAGCUUGACCACUAUGCCAUCAUCAGGUUCUAUCUCACCACUGAGUCAGCCAUGAAGAAGAUAGAAGACAACAACACACUUGUGUUCAUUGUGGAUGUCAAGGCCAACAAACACCAGAUUAAACAGACUGUGAAGAAGCUCUAUGAUAUUGAUGUGGCUAAGGUCAACACUUUGAUCAGGCCUGAUGGAGAGAAAAAGGCAUAUGUUCGACUAGCUCCUGACUGUGAUGCUUUGGAUGUUGCUAACAAAAUUGGGAUCAUCUAAAUUGAGUCCAGCUGGCUAAUUCUAAAUAUAAAAGUUAUCACUAAAAAAAGAAAAAAAA